GUCUUCCACUUCACUUGAGAAAUCCAUUAGGGUUAGGGUUAGGAUUUUGAAUAUGCGGAUUGCUUCGUUACGUACGCUGCAGCUCUUGCGUUACCUUUGUCAGCAGAAGUCAAUGGCGGGUACUCAUACCCUAUAAUGUUUUGUGAGUAAUACUACGAAAUUUCUCUUUAUAUUCAAAUAUGUAUACACAUUUCAUUGUAUGUGAAGUAGAAUCCAAAAUGUCUGUGAUGCCACACUAGAAUACAAAUGAUAGGAAUUCAAUUUGUGUUUUUCUAGGUUGAGACUGAUGAAUAAACGUGGGUUAAUAAAGUCAAUUGUACAUAUCAAGUCAAAUACAACUAUGAUGAUAGUGAGAACCAAUCAUGUGUAGAUGCAUCAUUGAUACCAAACAAAAGCAUGUGAGAGAUUUUUUUAAAACUUAUAUAUCAUCAAUAUAUUAAGAUCGCUCAACUAGACAAGUACAAGGAGACAAGUGGUGGCUCUCCUUCACUGCAUGCUCCCCACUUCGUUUUCAUCAAAAAAAAACUUCACGUCAUCUGGAGUUUACAGGCCCUUAACAAAACUGAUUACUUGCUGUUUCGAGAUGUUAAUGUGUUGUGUCGAUAUGUUCCAUGUGCCGCCCCCCAAACUCAAAGAAUUCUUUUGCAUUCUUUUUCUCGAGUGAUGAGUGAAUGGGAGAGCAGGUGGUAGUCGCUAUGCGUUGCAAGUAGGUAGAGAGCUCUAUACGAUGGUAUUGAGCUGCUACGUUUGGUUGGCUGGUUGGCUGGACGUUGUCGUGUGUGGUCAUGUUGCAAAGCAUUGAGGCGAACGCUUGAUGAUCCUGAAUGCUGGUGCUGCUGGGAGUGGGUGCAGCUCCAGCUCUUACCGCGGUGUUGGAAACUAAUUCAGUGCACACCUCAGGAGGUUUUGUGCAGCUCCAACUCUUGCCGCGGUAUUCAUAAACCCUUAACAAAACUGAGAUAUUGAUGAUAACUUGCUAUUUCGAGAUGUUCCAUGUGCUGCCUCUCAAACUCAGAGCAGGUAUUACGUCACACGGGCUCUUGCUGCGGUGUUCAUAGGCCCUUAACAAAACUAAGAUAUUGAUGAUAACUUGUUGUUUCGAGAUGUUCCGUGUGCCACCUCCUACACUCAGAGCAGGUAUCUCAUCACACGGGUUCUUCUUCUCAGGUGAUGAGUGAAUGGGAGAGCAUGUGGUAGUCGCUACGCAUUGCAGGUGGAUAGAGAGCUCUUUACGAUGGUAUCGAGUUGCUGCAUCUGGUUGGCUAGUUGGCUGGACGUCGUCAUUUGUGGUCGUGUGGCAAAGCAUUGAGGCAAACUGGAUGAAUUUUACAAACUGGUUUAUUACAAGUGAAUUUUAUUACUUGAUGAAUUUUAUUGAUUGAUGAUCUUGAAUGUUGGUGCCGCUGGGAGUGGGUGCAGUUCUAGCUCUUGCCGCGGUGUUGGAAGCUAAUCUAGUGCACACCUCGGGAGUUUCUAUGUAGCUCCAGCUCUUGUCGCGGUGUCUAGUGCACACUUCAGGAGGUAAGCCGUCGUAGGCAAAAGCCACACUUGAGGAAGUAAAACAUAAUUACACAUGAGGAGGUAAAACACAAGUCGAGCAAGUUUCUAAGUUUAUAAGUUUCUAAGUUUUAUUUAUUUUUAUUUUUAUUUUUAUUUUUUUAUAUUAGUUUGUUUUAUGGAUACUGAUUUUGUUUGUGUCUUCCAUUGUAGGUUUUGUCAGAUGAUGAGAAGAGGCCAUUGUAUAUGAUCAGUAUCAGUUUACAAAGAAUUAAGUUGUUGACCAGGAUAUUUUGGGCCGGCUUGCUCCAGAGUAAGCAAAUGAAUUCAUUUGCAAUAUUUUUAUGACAAUCAAAGUUCACUUACUCCAACCAUGUCAAAUUUAUUUUUAAUUCACGCCAAAAUUGUACUUUACAAAUAACAAGUUGCUAGUAAUGGAAAGAUCAAUUAAAUUGCAAAGCCUUUGGCUAUCAUCUUUCUUUCCUCUAUAACAGAAGCUAGGAUAUUAUUGUUAAAUAAGGAUUUAUGUAGGGAUUUUAUAAGAAAUAAAGUCAUUUUAUUAAUUUAAUAGUUUUUAUCUUUAUAGUUAUAUUUAUAGUUUAUAUAAUUUUCAUAUUACAUUUAUUAUAUGUUCAUUGUAAACACAAGUUCUUGAGCAACAAAGUUUUAUUGGAAUAUUACAA